GAGGUUUUAACAAAUAAAUCUCCCAAUAUAAACGUAAUCUUUAAAUUUUUUGAUGAUUUGGUGUGAUAAAAUGAAUUGUCAAUUAUAUAUAUAUUCAACCACUUUAUACUUAUUUUCAAUAAAUUGAAUGCUGCAAUAGAAUGAGAAUCAUUUGAAAAUAACUAUGUAUUACAUCUGUAUAAUGGUGUAUAGAAGCAAACUUAAUGGAACUCCUUCAAAUUGCAGUUAGCAAAACAAAGCCGAAAAUGAAAAGAUAAAGCGGAAGAUUUUGGAAAGCCCAACAGCUGUUUCAUUUAGACAGUGUCUGUUUUAUUUGGAAUUAAGAUAUUCCUUGGCAUUUAAGAAGAAAAAUGUUGCUUUGUUGCUUUGGCUGUAAAAAUAAUGAAGGUAUCAAAAGCAGAUAGUAUUGAAUGAAUUGUCUUUCGACUGCCCAGCUUUUUAUUGCCAUCAUAUAUAAAAGGAAAAAAUAAACUAAAUUAUAAAAGAACAGGCAGACCCCACCCAGCUGUUUCAAUAGAUUCUUGAUGACUCAACGAAUUGAAAACUACAUUUCCAACCAAGGAUUGCAUUUGAAAAUAUGUCACAACUGCUACAAAAGCAACAAUAUAUAUGAUUUAAUUUCUGUAAAAUUGAACCAAAAUAAAAACAAAUAACUUUUAAAAAUGCA